GAUGAACGCUGGCGGCGUGCCUAAUACAUGCAAGUCGAGCGAACGGACGAGAAGCUUGCUUCUCUGAUGUUAGCGGCGGACGGGUGAGUAACACGUGGAUAACCUACCUAUAAGACUGGGAUAACUUCGGGAAACCGGAGCUAAUACCGGAUGAUAUUUUGAACCGCAUGGUUCAAAAGUGAAAGACGGCCUUGCUGUCACUUAUAGAUGGAUCCGCGCUGCAUUAGCUAGUUGGUAAGGUAACGGCUUACCAAGGAAACGAUGCAUAGCCGACCUGAGAGGGUGAUCGGCCACACUGGAACUGAGACACGGUCCAGACUCCUACGGGAGGCAGCAGUAGGGAAUCUUCCGCAAUGGGCGAAAGCCUGACGGAGCAACGCCGCGUGAGUGAUGAAGGUCUUCGGAUCGUAAAACUCUGUUAUUAGGGAAGAACAUAUGUGUAAGUAACUGUGCACAUCUUGACGGUACCUAAUCAGAAAGCCACGGCUAACUACGUG
rnacentral:rRNA from 1 species